AUCGCCCUUCUCUUCAAUCUAGGGUUGCGUCGCCGCCUGUCCUACUAUUGGUUCUCGUUCCCCCUUCGGUUUCCGUCCCAAUCUUUUGUGUCCGAUCUGAUGGUUGAGCCACUCUGUUCGCCGAUACACGGCCGAUCUGAUGUUUCGGCGACACCGAUCAUCGAUCAUGCCCGAUUUGAUUAUUUUGAGGUUUCCGUCUUCGAUACAUGGCCAUAUGAUGUUUCGGCGGCUUUGGUAGCCGAUCUAUGAUUUUGAAGUGGUAACUGGAUGCUGGGGUUCGUGCAGAGCUUCGGGGUUCGUGAAUGGAGCGGCAGCAGCUUAUGAUCGUGUAUCUCGUUCCAGCUGGUGUUCAUUCAUGCCCUAAUUGGACCUUGUUUUUUACGCGGCGCAUCGGGAGACGAAGAUAUAUGUUUCAGACGAGGUUGUUGGUGGACGGAUCCUCAUCAUGUCUCUCGUUUUAAGUACUUAGAACUAGAGAUGUUAAUAUGGGGUUCUUUCUGAUGUAGAGCAUCUGCAAAGCCGGAAAUCUCCAUCGAGGGUAAGGUAAAUUAGGGACAUGUUCAGUCCAUCUAUUCUUUUGUCACACCGACCUUUGCCAUGUUGGGUGCGCUCGCAUGGCAGGUCAAAGAAACAUAAUAAAAAAAGAAGUUUUUUUGUGUUCUUGGGGAGAUCGCAUGGGGUGAUUUUAGAACCCCGGGUUCUCCCCACGGUGUGUAUUUUGUUCCCCUCCAUAUACUCCGCCCUCCAGAUUUCUUGCACGGUCUCCUCGGGACGAUUCCAUGAACUUCCUGAUCAGUACCUUCUACAAUCAUGAUCCACCAAUACUCGUGGCAAUACGGAAGCAUAGUGAACAUACUGAGGCACAUCUACGGGAAUCGUCUGCAUCAUACUAAGGUACUAUUUUCUUACCCGAUGUGGUCACCCCAAAGCCAUCCUCUCUGCCAGUUGCAAGGUAUGAUUUACUUCGAGUUAGCGUUCGAACGACUUAUGCAAUUGAAAAUAAUUCCGCAUCUAUCAGUUAGUGAUUAUUGAUCUAUCACCAAGGCUGUUUAGUCAAUAUCCAUAAUAAUCCUGGUUUACCCAGUGUUGUCUCCACCCGGUUUAGAGUACCGCUUUCGAUCUCGUUACAUUUUAAGUAUUAAGCAUUUAUUUAUGCGUUAUUGUCUCGAAUACCGAGGUUCAUGGAUCAUUGUGCAAUUGUUGUGGUAUAUUGUCCGCUUGGUCUUUGUAUUUCAAUUUAGGUGUUUUACUUGUUUGUUUAUGAUGUAACUUGUCAAGCAAAGGACCCUAUCUAGGCAAUGUCGUUAUGCCUCGGAACUGUGUGAUUGCAUGUUGUAUGUGAGAUAUUUUGUGUCUUUGUUCAUAAUGUUUCCUAGGAUUGAUUCGUGGCCGGCCUCUCGUGACGGUCUUGAGAUUUGCGGAAUCAGCUGCUGUGAAGACUCGUGGCGGUAGAAGACUGCUGGUAUUCGCUUCGAUGACUAGCGGAUUCAGUGUGUACCAUGGUCGCUCAGUUUUCUUGAGCCUGGAACCGAUCUUCCGGAUUCUGCCUUCUCGAUCUGUGCAGCUGCAGUUCGCUACUUGCUUGAGAUUUCAACGUGGCAGUUCGUUUACUGCUGUAAAAUGGUUUGCUCAACUAAUUUAUAUCUUUCCUGCAUAUCAAGCUUCAUGUUAGCUAACAUUUGAUCGCAGAGUCAGUUGGGAGGUUGUACGCCUAAAUAUGUGUGCUCUUAAAGAGGUUUAAUGGUAUGGCAUGUGGUGAUUAUGCAUUCUCGUCAUAUACGUUUAUUCGCUUGCUAUUUGUCUAAUGUAGCCUAAUUUUCUGUAAAUGGUUUCCGGUCAUUCAUUUUAAUGUCGUUAACAUCGGUUUUCCUCUCAAUGUUUGCAUUGCUGUAGCUUAUUUUUUUUUGCCUUUUUUAUUCCGCCAGGUUGUGUUGGCGGUGAAUCUGUGUUGAUUAAUUGCCAUUAACACUAUUAUGAAGAUUUGCUGUUGUAUAUCAACGGCAGUUGUGUUUAAGUCGUUUACUGGAGAAUAUUAACGUGGGCAUCUCCAUGUUAAAAGUCUCCUCCAAAGUAGGCCAAUGGCAUAUGGAGUUAUUAUUGUGUGAGUUAAUGGGAAUUUGAUCCAAUUUUAUAAGCGUUUGUUCGUGGAAUCAACCGAAAUUAUAUUCUUUUAAUUUUUUCGUAUUCUGUCAGAAAUUUUGUUAAAUAUUUAUAUUGCAUUUUAAGUUGUGACGUUGUACUCGUUUUGGUUGAUGUCUUAUAUUCUCUAUUUUUUAAAGGUAACAAUUAUGUGAGUUGUCCAUUGUAACCCCGGCCUGUGUGGUAGAGUUAUCGAGGUUUAAACGAGAUAAAAAGUUGAUAAAUCAUUAGGCGAUUUGUAGUCUGUUGAAGUUUUGCAGUGACGUGUCCAUUUACUUCGCAUUUGUGAAUCGGGUACUCGUGGUUCUUAAACCGCCCAUCUACGUGCCGAUGGCUUUUCUAUUCAAACCCGAAUCUUGUUUCUGCCUUGGGGGUAAGGCUCAAAUCGCUGGUUAGGUUGCAAGUGAAGCCUUAUUUAUCUUUUUAUUUUUGCUAGAUUUCGAGAGCCGGGUGGUUAGGUUGCAAGUGAAGCCUUAUUUAUCUUUUUAUUUUUGCUAGAUUUCGAGAGCCGGGUGAGUUUGUGUUGUAUUCAUUUUGUCGUUUGGAAGCCACAUUCUGUUGGAGUGCUGCAUAUGGAUCUUUAAGCUCAAAAUGGCAGAGCGCUCAGUCGUUUGUGUAUCAAAUGGCUCGAGAGGGUGGUGGUUCGAAUCCAUCAAGAUCUACUUGAUUUGUUUACUUUUUGGUGCUGCAUGGACUGUGUCAUGGUCGUUGGGCUGUCGAGGCUGUGUUGGAUGAUCAAAUCUGGGCCCUAUUGGAAAAUGUAGUUUUUAAUGGUGUAAAAAAUUAUCAUCUGUAUACUUAAGAUGGUAAAACUGUUUUCUUAUAAUUAAGAAAGAUAAUAAAAGAUGUAGGAACACAAUUAGGUAAUUAUUCAGAGCAACUAUUUAAUUUGUUUUUCGGAUGGUAUUUUCUUUCAUUCCUGUAGGAAGACUUAGGCAAAAUCAGAGUAUUUUCUUUUAGGAACACUUAACAGAUAGUAUUUUAUUUCAUUCUUGUAGGAAGACUUGAAUGCAGUAUUAUACAUUUUUAUAAUAAAUAUAAAUCAAUAGCAUUUAUUUGUUUUUAGGGUUGGAGUCUGAUUUUAUGACUAUGCUUGAGACACUAGUGAGAAGGAAAUAAAUAAAAUAAUAUUAUAUUUUAGAUAAAAUUAAAGAUACAAAUGAGCAAAGUAAGCUAUCAGAUAAAAAUUAAACGGAGUUAAAAAUUUAUUUACAUUAUGUAAAUUAGAUGUAUAGUUGACGUGUUGAUUACAAGCUGGAGAAAUGAAACAUUAAAUUUGAUGGUGAUAUUGUGGAGAAAUAAAAAAAUUAUAUAGGAGAUGGAGAUUUCUAAUGGUAAUUUUUAAUUAUUUAUAAAAUUUUAAAAAAAAAUUAAUAUUUCGAAAAUUAUCUAAAAGUAAAUGGAAGUAAAUAUUUUAUUUUCUUCUGUUCCAGUGACAAGCGGCGGCCAACGACAAUUAGAUGGGUGAGCAACGAGUGAUUUUCAAUAGCAAAUAAUAUUGAUGACAAGCAGUCAACGACUUCGAGUGUCAUCGAGCGAUGUCUUUCCCUUCAUCGAGCAGUGUCGUCGUGAAUGGUCACAAACUAUGGCAUAGAGCGACAUUGAACGAUGGAAAAUUUUAAUAUUUCAAAGAUAUUCCAAAGUAAAUGUGAGCAAUGAGUGUUUCUGACAUCAAGCAGUGUCCGAUGACAAUCUGUCAAUGAGCAGCAACAUCUAAACAGUGACGAUGUCGAGUGGCAUCGAGUGAGAUAUUGAACGACGAAGAUCACUAGUGUUCCAGUAGAUGACGCAAGAGAUCAAGAGAACAAAGAUAUGCUCGAUGAUUAAGUGAUUAUUAAUAGUAAAAUUAUAUUAUUAUUAUUAUUAUUAUUAUUAUUAUUAUUAUAAGAUUUUGUAAAUAGUAGUAGGUGUUUGCUAAAAACACGCUUCCCUCUUGAACAGAAAAAGUCAUGAUUGACUUAAUAAUUUAAAUAAUGUUAACUUUCAAUAAUGGACCAAACCGGUUGGGUUCAAACUAUUCCUCCA